CAUCUCUCACCCCCUUUUCCCUCUGAUGAAACCUCCCACGCCGCUCCUUCUCUUUCCCCCAUCCCCGCCAGUCCGCCACCACGCGCCAAUCCCGCCGUCGCCCGUUGAUCCGGCGCGCACUUCCACCCUUGUCUCUCUCCCUGAUCUGGCAGCCCUCGGUCACUACGCUGCGAGCUCUGGCCGGCUUGACCUCGUCGCCCCCAUCCAAUAGGUGCUCGACGCCGCUCCUCGGGACCGCGGCGAUCUUCUUCAUGGGCUCUCUCUCUCUCCCUUCACCUCCUACGCCAUGUAUCGGCCCCUUCCUGAAGCUCCUCCUCAUCCGGGUGGCCCCCUGAUGUCGCCGAGUGGACCACGCCCACUCCUGCCUCGGCCCGCCUGUACCAGGUCCGAUCGCCUGGGCUUUGCGCAAUUCGUCGAGCAGGUCAUAUAUGUGGCAUGUGUACGUGUGCUUUUGUAAUGGAUGGUUGGAUUGUGUUCUGGUGGUUGGGGUGCAGGAUUUGCUCCUGUUGUUCAAGUUGAAUAGCGGGGAGAUGGAGGAGAUGGUGCCAUGAAGGGCUAGUGUGGUGGGCACAUCAGAUUCUAAAGGCGGCUUUGAAAGAGGGUGAGAUGAUGCUCGUCAAGACUAACUGAAAAGGAAUGGGAGACAGUACUGGAAGAAUCAUGAUCUAUGGCAAGGGUGAUGAUGUCUAUGGCGAUGAUUGUUAUGAUCUAUUUGGCGACGAGCAUUAUGAUCCACAUGGUGAUGAAGGGUGAUGAGUCUAGUGAUCUUUCUUCAAGACGUUCAACAAAGUGAAGUCAUGGGGUUUUGGUCAAUUUAGCUUAUGCAUAAUGCUUGGACCAUUAUAUCUUAGUUACAUUUUUUUUGCAUUUAAAACUUCCUAGAUUGUUCAUCACGAUCAAUGUAAUUUUGAUGCAACUCUUCUGAUAUUUUGAAAGCUGUGCUAUAUACAAUAUAUGUUACUUGGU